UUUGCUGACGAGUGGCGGACGGGUGAGUAAUGUCUGGGAAACUGCCYGAUGGAGGGGGAUAACUACUGGAAACGGUAGCUAAUACCGCAUAACGUCGCAAGACCAAAGAGGGGGACCUUAGGGCCUCUUGCCAUCGGAUGUGCCCAGAUGGGAUUAGCUAGUAGGUGGGGUAACGGCUCACCUAGGCGACGAUCCCUAGCUGGUCUGAGAGGAUGACCAGCCACACUGGAACUGAGACACGGUCCAGACUCCUACGGGAGGCAGCAGUGGGGAAUAUUGCACAAUGGGCGCAAGCCUGAUGCAGCCAUGCCGCGUGUAUGAAGAAGGCCUUCGGGUUGUAAAGUACUUUCAGCGGGGAGGAAGGGAGUAAAGUUAAUACCUUUGCUCAUUGACGUUACCCGCAGAAGAAGCACCGGCUAACUCCGUGCCAGCAGCCGCGGUAAUACGGAGGGUGCAAGCGUUAAUCGGAAUUACUGGGCGUAAAGCGCACGCAGGCGGUUUGUUAAGUCAGAUGUGAAAUCCCCGGGCUCAACCUGGGAACUGCAUCUGAUACUGGCAAGCUUGAGUCUCGUAGAGGGGGGUAGAAUUCCAGGUGUAGCGGUGAAAUGCGUAGAGAUCUGGAGGAAUACCGGUGGCGAAGGCGGCCCCCUGGACGAAGACUGACGCUCAGGUGCGAAAGCGUGGGGAGCAAACAGGAUUAGAUACCCUGGUAGUCCACGCCGUAAACGAUGUCGACUUGGAGGUUGUGCCCUUGAGGCGUGGCUUCCGGAGCUAACGCGUUAAGUCGACCGCCUGGGGAGUACGGCCGCAAGGUUAAAACUCAAAUGAAUUGACGGGGGCCCGCACAAGCGGUGGAGCAUGUGGUUUAAUUCGAUGCAACGCGAAGAACCUUACCUGGUCUUGACAUCCACGGAAGUUUUCAGAGAUGAGAAUGUGCCUUCGGGAACCGUGAGACAGGUGCUGCAUGGCUGUCGUCAGCUCGUGUUGUGAAAUGUUGGGUUAAGUCCCGCAACGAGCGCAACCCUUAUCCUUUGUUGCCAGCGGUCCGGCCGGGAACUCAAAGGAGACUGCCAGUGAUAAACUGGAGGAAGGUGGGGAUGACGUCAAGUCAUCAUGGCCCUUACGACCAGGGCUACACACGUGCUACAAUGGCGCAUACAAAGAGAAGCGACCUCGCGAGAGCAAGCGGACCUCAUAAAGUGCGUCGUAGUCCGGAUUGGAGUCUGCAACUCGACUCCAUGAAGUCGGAAUCGCUAGUAAUCGUGGAUCAGAAUGCCACGGUGAAUACGUUCCCGGGCCUUGUACACACCGCCCGUCACACCAUGGGAGUGGGUUGCAAAAGAAGUAGGUAGCUUAACCUUCGGGAGGGCGCUUACCACUUUGUGAUUCAUGACUGGGGUGAAGUCGUAACAAGGUAACCGUAGGGGAACCUGCGGUUGGAUCACCUCCUUACCUUAAAGAAGC
rnacentral:rRNA from 1 species